AACUGGAGGAAGGUGGGGAUGACGUCAAGUCAUCAUGGCCCUUACGACCAGGGCUACACACGUGCUACAAUGGCGCAUACAAAGAGAAGCGACCUCGCGAGAGCAAGCGGACCUCAUAAAGUGCGUCGUAGUCCGGAUUGGAGUCUGCAACUCGACUCCAUGAAGUCGGAAUCGCUAGUAAUCGUGGAUCAGAAUGCCACGGUGAAUACGUUCCCGGGCCUUGUACACACCGCCCGUCACACCAUGGGAGUGGGUUGCAAAAGAAGUAGGUAGCUUAACCUU
rnacentral:rRNA from 1 species